AACACAUGCAAGUCGAACGAGAAAUCCUGAGCAAUCGGGAGAGUACAGUGGUUCACCGGUGAGUAACGCGUGGGUAAUCUGCCCUGGAGUUGGGAAUAACACUUCGAAAGGAGUGCUAAUACCCAAUAAGAUCUUGAAGACCCCGGUUUUGGGGAUUAAAGAGGGCUGAGGCUUGCAAGCUCUCGCUCCAGGAUGAGCCCGCGUACCAUUAGCUAGUUGGUAGGGUAAAAGCCUACCAAGGCAACGAUGGUUAGCUGGUCUGAGAGGAUGGCCAGCCACACUGGAACUGAGAUACGGUCCAGACUCCUACGGGAGGCAGCAGUGGG
rnacentral:sRNA from 1 species